rnacentral:ncRNA from 1 species
CGACCCCAGGUCAGGAGGGACUACCCGCUGAGUUUAAGCAUAUAAAUAAGCGGAGGAGAAGAAACUUACAAGGAUUCCCCUAGUAACGGCGAGCGAACCGGGAGCAGCCCAACUUGAGAAUCGGGCGGCUGUGCCGUCCGGAUUGUAGUCUGGAGAGGCAUCCUCAGCGACGGACCGGGCCCAAGUCCCCUGGAAAGGGGCGCCUGGGAGGGUGAGAGCCCCGUCUGGCCCGGACCCUGUCGCCCCACGAGGCGCCGUCAACGAGUCGGGUUGUUUGGGAAUACAGCCCAAAUCGGGCGGUAGACUCCGUCCAAGGCUAAAUACAGGCGAGAGACCGAUAGGGAACAAGUACCGCGAGGGAAAGAUGAAAAGGACUUUGAAAAGAGAGUCAAAGAGUGCUUGAAAUUGCCGGGAGGGAAGCGGAUGGGGGCCGGCAAUGCGCCCCGGCCGUAUGCGGAAUGGCUCUUGCUGGUCCGCCGCUCGGCUCGGGGUGUGGACUGUUGUCGGCCGCGCCGGCAGCCAAAGCCUGGGGGCCCUAGGUGCCCCCGGUGGCCGUCGUCGGCACGGCCGGUACCCGCGCGCCGAAAGGCGUGUCCCUCGGGGCACUGCGCUGCAACGGCCUGCGGGCUCCCCAUCCGACCCGUCUUGAAACACGGACCAAGGAGUCUGACAUGCGUGCGAGUCGACGGGUUCUGAAACCUGGGAUGCGCAAGGAAGCUGUCGAGCG